rnacentral:piRNA from 1 species
GAGCUACCUGGCAAGAAGGGAGG